UAUGCCUUGAGAUGACUUUCUGUUAGUCAACAUUUCCUGUUGUGAAAGCCAUUACACACGAGGCAACCGCCAAAUUAGCUGAAAGAUCCUGGAUCUGAAAUCUGUGAAAUACGGCCGUGGGAAGCUGCGUCAGCCAGGCGAGCUAUCUCACCACGAGCUCCGAUUGGUUUUUGACCAGGACUGGAUCAUUUGAGAUCUGAACCCUGUGGGUUCAGUG